GACGAACGCUGGCGGCGUGCUUAACACAUGCAAGUCGAACGGAAAGGCCCUGCUUUUGUGGGGUGCUCGAGUGGCGAACGGGUGAGUAACACGUGAGUAACCUGCCCUUGACUUUGGGAUAACUUCAGGAAACUGGGGCUAAUACCGGAUAGGAGCUCCUGCUGCAUGGUGGGGGUUGGAAAGUUUCGGCGGUUGGGGAUGGACUCGCGGCUUAUCAGCUUGUUGGUGGGGUAGUGGCUUACCAAGGCAUUGACGGGUAGCCGGCCUGAGAGGGUGACCGGCCACAUUGGGACUGAGAUACGGCCCAGACUCCUACGGGAGGCAGCAGUGGGGAAGAUUGCACAAUGGGCGGAAGCCUGAUGCAGCAACGCAGCGUGCGGGAUGACGGCCUUCGGGUUGGAAACCGCUUUCGCCUGUGACGAAGCGUGAGUGACGGUAAUGGGUAAAGAAGCACCGGCUAACUACGUG
rnacentral:rRNA from 1 species